CAGCAGCCGCGGUAAUACGGAGGGUGCAAGCGUUAAUCGGAAUUACUGGGCGUAAAGCGUGCGUAGGUGGUGGUUUAAGUCCGUUGUGAAAGCCCUGGGCUCAACCUGGGAAUUGCAGUGGAUACUGGGUCACUAGAGUGUGGUAGAGGAUAGUGGAAUUUCCGGUGUAGCGGUGAAAUGCGUAGAGAUCUGGAGGAAUACCGGUGGCGAAGGCGGCCCCCUGGACAAAGACUGACGCUCAGGUGCGAAAGCGUGGGGAGCAAACAGGAUUAGAUACCCGUGUAGUCCCUGUCUCUUAUAC
rnacentral:rRNA from 1 species